UUUGACUAAAUUUUCCACUUUUCAUGUGCCUUCGCUUAAAAUGAUAAAAAAAUAUUGUUGAAAGAUACCAGUAAUAAUUCUUAAAACAAAAUUCAGGAUGCAUGAUGCAUCUGAGUGUGUCGUGUGUCUUCACUAUCAACAAUGCAAAUAAAAAAUGGCGCAUGAUUUUAUUUUGCUAGCCAAAACGGUGGAGUCUCGUUUUUUUCAUCAGCUAAAAUGUAAGUUUGCAGCAAUUUUCUUUUCCAUAAACUGUUUUUAAAUUGUUUCAAAUGUUUUUUUCCAGCGGAAUUCGCCGGUCGACAGCUCCAAAUCAGACUUCCACCGGAAGCGUUCCCUUGCAUCACUACCGGCUGUCCGGAAGACCAACGAGCAACGUUUGCAUCAAAACAAAUUAAUUGCAGAACUAAUCAUUUCAUCUAAGGAUGAUCCGGAUCUCCGCAGGAUCACAGAAACCGAAUUGCGUUCUGCUUCGACGAGAAUUUCCCGACGCGACAAUCUCAACAGUAGGGUCUUGAAAAACAAAUUUGUAAGUUUUUUUAUGUUAUUUUGCGUUAAUUUUUGUGUUUUUUAGGAUAUCUUCUGACAUCGCUGGAUGGACCGUCCAGUAUGAGCAUUGCAUGCAUUUGGCUCUAUUGAACAUGCAAAGAGAUGCCCAUUUCAUCCGAUUACGAAAUCGAUUCCAAAACAAAAUUCGAACUAUUCCAUUCUUCCGUAAAAAAUACCGCCGUAUACGGUCCAAUAUAACAACGAACGUCACAAAGAUCCUUGAUUCCAGCAGUGAAAAUAGUGAUAAAGCUUUAGUGCCCGCGGCUACCAGUUGACCGAGCUGGGCCCACCUCCCCUGCUCCCUAGCGGUGUCCUGGUAGAGAACAACGACAGCAGCGGCAGCCAAAACGGUGGAGUCUCGUUUUUUUCAUCAGCUAAAAUGAGAAUUCGCCGGUCGACAGCUCCAAAUCAGACUUCCACCGGAAGCGUUCCCUUGCAUCACUACCGGCUGUCCGGAAGACCAACGAGCAACGUUUGGAUCAAAACAAAUUAAUUGCAGAACUAAUCAUUUCAUCUACGGAUGGUCCGGAUCUCCGCAGGAUCACAGAAACCGAAUUGCGUUCUGCUUUGACGAGAAUUUCCCGACGCGAAACAAUCUCAACAGUAGGAUAUCUUUUGACGUCGCUGGAUGGACCGUCCAGUAUGAGCAUUGCAUGCAUUUGGCUCUAUUGAACAAAGGGAUGCCCGAUUACGAAAUCGAUUCCAAAACAAAAUUAGAACAUUCUUCCGUGAAAAAUACCGCCGUAUAGAGUCCAAUAUAACAACGGACGUCACAAAGAUCCUUGAUUCCAGCAGUGCCAGCGGCUACCAGUUGACCGAGCUGGGCCCACCUCCCCUGCUCCUGAGCGGUGUCUUGGUCGAGAACAACGACAGCAGCGGCAGCUCGUCGUCAAGAAAGGGAAAGUUAAAAUUUCCCAUCAACUAUCUUUUCAAUGGAAACAAUGUAAGUGGCACCGCUACCAGAUUCGCUGCCGUAAUCCGAGCGUCCCCUUUGAUGCUCCGAUGGUGAAAUCGAGGAAUGGCGUGAGAUGUCCGGGGGGACCAAUCGAAGCGGCCAACUGCAACUACUCCGAUG